rnacentral:rRNA from 1 species
AUUGAACGCUGGCGGCAGGCCUAACACAUGCAAGUCGAACGGUAACAGGAAGCAGCUUGCUGCUUCGCUGACGAGUGGCGGACGGGUGAGUAAUGUCUGGGAAACUGCCUGAUGGAGGGGGAUAACUACUGGAAACGGUAGCUAAUACCGCAUAACGUCGCAAGACCAAAGAGGGGGACCUUAGGGCCUCUUGCCAUCGGAUGUGCCCAGAUGGGAUUAGCUAGUAGGUGGGGUAACGGCUCACCUAGGCGACGAUCCCUAGCUGGUCUGAGAGGAUGACCAGCCACACUGGAACUGAGGCACGGUCCAGACUCCUACGGGAGGCAGCAGUGGGGAAUAUUGCACAAUGGGCGCAAGCCUGAUGCAGCCAUGCCGCGUGUAUGAAGAAGGCCUUCGGGUUGUAAAGUACUUUCAGCGGGGAGGAAGGGAGUAAAGUUAAUACCUUUGCUCAUUGACGUUACCCGCAGAAGAAGCACCGGCUAACUCCGUG